CCUGUGUGUGUGUGUGUGUGUGUGUGAGUGAGAGAGUAACGCAUCUUCUCUAGCGAGGAUCUUGGUGAGGAGCCAGGGCAGUCGACGCACGUGGAGAUCAUCAGCCUCAUCAGGGUGUGGAAACAAAGGAGAUGCAGAUCCGUCAACCACUGCUGGAGGAUUAACGCUACCGGUUUCAUCAAGGAGAUUUCCUAGUUGGAGUGAUCCCUCUGUUUCCUCCUACCGAGUCUCUUUCCUGCAAGGAACCUGCCUGCCUGCUCCGCCCAUUCCCAGUCAUCAUUAGACUCUAUCUGGACCUUCGGCCCACUUAUCCCCACCAAAACUCCACACGGGAUCCAGGACAACCUUCCCCCUACGGUUCACCUGAACCGCCUUACAAGUAAGCCGCUUCUAUUUGCUUAAGGAGCACUCACCCCAGACCA